rnacentral:lncRNA from 1 species
GGGAGAUGGGCGCCUUCCACUGGCCUUUAACGAGAAGGGCAAGGGCCCUGUACACAAAGCCUUCUUCGCUAAUUUCAUUUGUGCACAAAGCAAAGCCCUUCUCCUUUUCCUCCCCCUAGGGUUGGGACUGAAUUUACUCUGGGUCUUGAAGUGUGGAAAAAGUAAACACUGCUCUAUUUGGAUUCCACUCACUGGUUUCUCCUGAGCCCAACAGAGCAGAGCCUGAGAGCAACCCCACGAGAAAACCACGAUCCCGGGUAACGCCAGGAGUUCCAGACAGUGCGAGCAGAGCAGCAAAGCAAGGCAAAAACCCCUGAGGUGGGAAAGAAAUGAGAAGGAGAAACACUGGGCUUAUUCUUAAUCGCUUUGCAUUUCCACAGAAAGCACUGUCAGCCCACAGAAGCUUCGGGAACCAUAGCACCCCCACCCCCACUCACCGGCGUGGCUAGGCCUGGCCAUGUCUGUCACCAAAUCUGUCCUGCCCUGCGACUCACUGGGUACCAUGUGAGCCAAGCCUGCACCAGUGUGAGGACGGAACUGCUGUGUCUGUGCGACCAAGUGGGUGCUUAAGAAGGACUCCUCGAGGCAAGACUUAUUUUUUCUUAGGAGACGGCCUGGCUUUGUGGUCCAGGCUGGCCUUGAACUUGCUAUGUAGCCAAGGCUGGCCUCCAACACACAAUGAUCCUCCUGCCUCAGCCUCCCCAGUGCUGGGAUUACAGGGAUGUGGCACCACAUCCAGCCGAAGCAAGAGUUCAAAAUUAAAGCAUCCUGUGCCCCCAGAUGUCUGGCUCUGCCUUGCUGUCCCAGGCCAGCAGCCUCUAGUGGGGCACGAGGGGCCAUGGGGCCACAGCUCAACUCCCAGACACCCUCUCUGGGCUCAGACUCUUGAGCGAAGGGACAGCAAAGUGUGUGAGCCCGCCCGGAUCUGGCCAUCAGCUGACGCUGCUCCCCAGAGUGGGGGAGCAGCCCCCCCCACCCCCGGCCGGAUGCUCAGUUUCCCUUCCACUGAAGUCUGUUUCCCCGGGCAUGGUGGCGCACGCCUGAAACCCAAGCACUCUGGGAGGCUGAGGCAGGAGGAUCGCAAGUUUGUGCCCGACCUGAGAAACAGCAACUUAGUGAGACUCUGUCUCAAGAUAAAAAAUCAGGAGGCUGUAGCUCAGCGGGGGGGACCUGGGUUCAAUCCCCCAGUGCUGAAAAAAACCUGUUUCUAGUUAAAAGUAGCCAGAGCUAAUUUCUCCCAUUUGUAGCUGAAAAAUCCCAAAGGACGCGGCUCACAGCAACCCGUCAGCACGCGGGUGUGCGUGGACUCGCACGUGCACGUCGCGGGGGCACAGCGCUGUCUCGUCCGCAGGCGACUCACUCACGAGCGUGCGCAGUCUGACCCCGGAUUCCCUCUCCACAUCCGGCCACGAGCUGAUGAGAAACCGGGAGGGCCAGUGCACUGCGUGAGCGCGAGUGUGAGAGCGUGCAGCCUGGGGAAAAAUCCUGCCGACUCGCCACGCUGUUGGAGCGCACGCCCGCUCUACCAGGGGCGCGGGCCUUGCCGUCAGCGUCCUCUGCAGGCGCAGCCACCCCAAGCUUCCGCCGACCCUGACCCCAGCCCCAGCCCUCAACCCACGACCCGAGGCCACAGAGGCCCACAGGGUGAGCCCGUCUAACCCGGGCACCCAGGCUUUCACGCUGGAGGAGUGGCCGGGGAGGGGAGGGAGAGAGACAGAGGGAGGGAGAGACAGAGGGACAGAGAGAGACAGAGACAGAGAGACAGAGACAGGGAGAGAGACGAGAGAGAGACAGAGAGACAGAGGGAGAGAGAGAGGCCAUCUCCCCUCCCCUCUCCCCCACUCCCUCCGACAGUGCAGAGCAGGCUGCUGCCCAGCAGGAAGGAAAAGGCCACCAUCAGGGCAAGGCAAGUGUUGUGGGCACAGCGGCCCUGUGUUGCUUGCCUGUCUGCACACGGAGUCACCUGCCCGCUCCUCGGAUUUCUGCAGCUCCCCUGCGGCUCUGUCUGUGGCCCAGGCCCUGCUGGCGUGGAGUUUGUCCGACCCUCUGCGAGUGAGGCCCGGCACAGAUGGACGUUGCUCUCUGCUGUCCCUAGAACCCGGUGUCCCUCGCCUUUAGUCCACAGCAGGUGCUGUCUGCCGGCCCUGGCUCCCGCUUUGGCACCGAGUCCCCCUGGAGGCGAGGCGGGUUCUGCUUGUGUCGCAGGUGGGCACCCUGAGACACUCGGGGUGUUUGUCACCCAGCUGGUGGUGCCUCUUGGUGGCCUCGAGUCCCACGCAAGGGAGCUUUGGCUUGCAGGUCCCUGAACCCGGGACACCUGGCCACCAGACCCGGACCUGCACGCCCUUCUGGGGACCCUGCAGGGCCAGGGAGGCGCAAGGCACAGCACCCAAGACCACGCCCUUCCCCGGGGGGGGGGGUCACAGUGCUGGGAGCUCCUGGAUCCCCAGAAAUUCUCAUGAAACCAGCCAUGGACGGAGCUCGCCUGCCCCACACAACAGCACACAGCACACUGGCUUUUUGUGUUUGUUUUUAGUGGUUUUCUGAGACAGGGCCUCACUCUGUAGCCCAGGCUGGCCUCAGACUCAUGGUCAUCCUCCUGCCUCAGGCUCCUGUGGCACCACCAUGUCACUGGCGGUUUUUGAGUGCCUCACCUGAUUUGAAAAUUUGGAGCGAUAACCCAGACGUGCUUGUUCAGGCUUCCUAUUUUCCUUCGAUCUCUUGAACAGAAUCUGCCUGCAGAGCUGUCUUCUGGAGGUCUCUCUGUGGCCCGGGCCUGGGGGACUGCACUCUGCGGCCGUCCCAGGCCCAGUGGGGUCCGCACACCACGUCACAGUGACCCCUGCCCCUCCACCCCUCCCCGCCCCCGGGGAGGUGACACCCUGACCGCCUCUUUCUCACCUCGUUUAGGAGCUGGCUUGGACCACAGUGGGGCUUCUCAGGGUCUUCCCUGGGGCCACCCCAAGAAACUGCUCUGAUUGUGGGGUCCCUGUGCCCCGCACCGUGCUGUGAGGGGAAGUGUCCUUGGCUGCAUUCACCCCCGCCCUCUGGGAAAGGUUUCAGUGCCCUGGCAUCAAAUUUAUAACCAUGUUGUAUGUGACCCAUUGUCCUUGUCUCACCGGGGGUUGAACCCAGGGCCUUCACGCUGAGCUACACCCCACCCUUUUCUCAUUUUGUAUUUGGAGACAGGUCUCACUGAGUUGCCCCAGCGGGGCUUGAUCCUCCUGCCUCAGCGUCCGGAGCGUGGGUUUUUUGGGUGUGCACCACCACGCCCUGCUCAGCACUGCGGGUUUGCAGCAACUUUACUUGGUUCCCACAUAAAAGCAAACUCUUGUCUGUCCUCGUUUUCCAGUGUGGUAAGGUUUUCAUCCUGUGUCACUCCAUUUAUCCUCGUUCUUGACUUGACUUCCAGUGACAGUUAACUAAUUAGUGCUCUUCAGACGCUGCCUCUCUCUACAGAACACAGAACAACAGUCUUCCUCUCCAUGGAGCAAGAGGAUCUCUUGCGAUUCUUGGGACCCUACUUUCCUCCUGUUAAUGAUAAAGACCUAGGCGCAGAAAAAACACAAGGGAAAAGCAGCAGAGGCGUGGUCACCCUUGGUGGCGGCUCCCAGCGGGAUGAUGGGGGACCCAGCCCCUCAGAGACUCUACCUUGUUGGUCACCCUGAGGGUCCAGGGCUGAGAGACCUUUUAACUUUUUAAUAAAGAAGAUGAAUUCAAGUUUUUCCAUGAAAAUUUCCUUUAAAAACACUGCUUUAAUUUUUAAAAGAAACUCAAGCCUAGUGACCGAAUACACUCUUGGGGACAGAACUCUCCAUCUCCCGGGCCCACGAGGGCUGCCAGUGCGCCUGUGAUCAGGGAC